ACUGAAAGAAACACCAAAUUUUGUUUUCCUUGUUGGCCACAGUUUUAACUUUCUAAUUUCUUGUGGCAGUGUGCAACAGCAGAGGACUUCAUGGGCAUUGUGUUGGCUGAUAAUUAAGCAGCUGAUAUGAAGCAGCUGGACAGUUCAGCAAUCCCAGAAUAACUUCUGGAUUGAUGAUAUGCAUUGUUAAUAUAUACCAUAUUGAUUUUAAAAGAUGUUGUUAGUGGACAUAUGUUGGAAAAGUACUUUGAAAUGCUUGAAAUAAAAAUGCUAUGAAACUCCAGAAUAAAAGGAUAAUUUUGUGUAACAGUAAUAGGCGAGAGAAUAAAUAAUAGAGGAUUAAAAUUACCAAUAGUGCUUAAAUAGUUCAGCGUGUAAUGGUUGUAUCAAAUGUGAAUGACACUUUGAACCUUAAUGCUGAUGAAAGCCAAGGUAUUUUUUAUAAUGAAAACCCCAUAAGAAAUUAACAUUUUUUUGCUAUGUGGUUCUUUGUUAUACUGCAAUCUUACUCAGAAAUCUAAUAAUGAGAAGCAUAAAGGACAGAAUUAAUUAGGUGUUCCCAUCUAUGGCCUCAUCUAUUCAGAAAUGUUUUCUUUGCUGUGCUUUCCAGUGUUUUAUCAAAUUUAGCCUUAAAUAACUUUCCUUUCUGUGGGAAAAUAUAUUCUACUUUAUAUAGUGUUGCUGUUCAGAAAUGUUUUCUGAUGCUCAGCUUAUGCCACUCUCUUCCCUGAGUUCAUCCCACUUUUUAAUUCAUGCCCCUUAGAGUCAAGAUGUUUAAUUCCUCUCCCUCCUCUGUGAUUUACACUAUUGUCAUAUUUCUCAAGCGCAGUCAUCCAGCCAGGCCACCUUAUGUAGUUAUUUUGGUAUUUUUUCUGCCCUGUUUUAGAGGAUGUUGAAAUUUUUAACUUAGGAAGCAUAUUUAGUGUAAAACAAGGAUUGAUAUUUUGUUUAAGAGCAACUGAGAGUCUCUUUGUAGCCAGCCCUGUAUCUUUUUUCUUGACUUGUGAUUUCUGGUUUGUCAGGUUGGUUACAAAUAGUACUGCCAAUCACGAUUGCAUCCAAGGUAUUUUGCUAGAGCAAAGUUCCUUCUUCUCUUGAGUUUAUUUUUUGUCAUAUGUAAAUGUGCAUGUGAAUAUGCAUAAAAGUGUGUGUAAGUGUGUAUACAAGCAUGCACGCAGUCAUGUUGUGGUGGUAAAGGCUAUGCCUUCAUCCCAGAUUCUCCGUGGUUCAGCGCUGGGGAUUGGUGCACAGCUAGCACAGUGCUCUGAGUUUUUUUUUUCCGAUUACCCGGUCCCCAUGUCUCAGGUAUACGAAAUCAAAGACAUCCUGCUGCUUGGGUGCAUCCCAGUUCUUCUGCUCUCUGGAUUAUGGGCAUGGGUUUUCUUCUCAGGCGAUACCAGGAGCUAGCUCUACUCAGGUCAGGGACUACUGCUUAAGUCCUUCCCUGAAAAUCCACUUCACUAACCAUUUUCUUAUAAAUACUUCUUGUGUAAUUAUUUGCUAGAAGCAAUUCCUGGAUUAAAGUAUCAGUAGGUGUGGAAGUAUCAUGUAGCUGUAAAGUAGUGUGGAGCUGAUAUAAGAAAACAUGUUAUCCAAGGUAAGGUAGAAGUAGAAAGUUCUUGUAUAAUGUAUUGAAAAGGUGCUGUUGGGGAAAGGUAUGACCUCUGAUAACGGGACAUGUGGAAGAAACUAAUGUUUUUAAUGUUUUUAGGGAAAGAAAAAUUAAGCAAAAUUUUGCUUUACAAUGGAUGUGUAAAUCAUCAAGGAUUAAGUGUAUUACAGUCCUUGAAGAGAAGAAACAAAGCACUGACUAAAGCUAACAGAGCUGAGGGAAGAUUAUCUGUGCUUGCAGGAGUUCGUUUGACCCCAGUGUCCCCUGACUACUCUCACUCCAAACCCUGAGUGGCAGAGCCUGCUGGGCCUGUAUGGAAUAUGAUCUUUCAGCAUGUGGCAAAUUGCAAUUCUACAGAUGGUUUUAAAGAAAAAAGUAAUAACAAUUAUUAUGUUUUAAUUUUUAUUCUCUCAGUAUGUAACGGACGUGGAGUUAAGUGAAGAUUGUUUUAUCAUAUGUGACCUUGAGCUAUAGUAGGAUCUUAUUCUUCAUUAAUAAUAAAGAUUUGAUUCUUUCA